rnacentral:lncRNA from 1 species
CUCUUUCCCUCUCUCAAUUCCCUGUCUAUCUCUUAACUUUUCUCCACCACCACCACCACCACCAGGCACUUUUCAGGCCAGAUCCACCACCACCCUCCCCAUCAACCUCCGUUGCAAGAUUUCAUCCACCACCACCAUCUAAGUGGUGGUUUUCUCAUCCAAACCAGUCACCCAAUACCAUUGUGUUCAUCGUCUCUGCACAAACACCUUACACCAUUUUCUUUAACAUCACAGCUGCCAAAAAUUCAUUGCUGAACACCCCUCCAUCUCGACUUAGGGUUUCGAUAGGAUGAUGAUGAAUAUUCUAUGGUAAAUUCCGGUGACAGUUGACGACGGGGGGUUUUUGUUUUUUUUUUUAAAUGGGUUUUGGUUUUGGUGGUUGUUUGUUUAAUUUGUAAUGGUGUAGUUGAUGAUAUGAAAUUAUGAACAUUGGGAAUGGAUUGAAGUUAGGGUUUUGGUUAAUUUGGGGAUUAUUAUCUAUAACACUUUUAAGAAAGACUGAAAAAAAUUACUUUAGAGUUAUUUUUACUGUUUUUUUGGUAAUACUUGGAUAGCCUGGUUUUGGGCACCGAUAUCAGCUUGUUCCAGGUCAAUGGAUUCUUAUCCAUAUGAUGCUGGGAAUGUGAUGCAAUUAAGUGAUGCUGGUGGAAGCUCUGCACUUGCAAAAGCUUUCCCAACUGAGUAAAGGAAUAUGUUGGGUGAGAAUCUGUACCCGCUCACCGGAAAAUAACAUUCUUCCAUCGUGUAAUAUUGGAUGAUUUUAAUGGCAAACGUGAUCUGAAUUCGCAGUUUAAAGAGGAAACGAAUUUGUGAUCACACGAAUGCAAUCUGCUUAGUGUUUGAUUUGAAGAUUUACUGAUGGAAGUAAUUAAGGUUUGUGAUUGUGGUAGGAGCCAGGCUUCAGAUUUGGUGAUGGUGGUUGUUGGUGGGUGGUGGUGGUGGGUUUGAUGGUGAUGGCUGAUGGUUUGUUGAGAGAGAGAGUGUGUGUGUGUUCAAAGUGUGUGAGAGAGAGUGAAAGAGAAAAGAGAUAUUUAUAUUUGUUAUUAUUUUCUUUUAUUUGUACUAUAAAUAAUUAGGUAAAAAGACUAUGCUACCCUUAAGUGAAUAAAAUUAACUAAAAAUUUUAACAUUGUUAGUGCUAAAAGACGAAUGAUGUACUGAGUUUUCCAAAUAAAAGAUUAUGAAUGUAGUUAU